AGAUUCUCAAAUCGACAACCAUCACUAUGAGAUAAGUGGUGAUACAACGUCUAAUCCACGUUUCCAGAACUUCUCUAUAUCGUGAUGGGAUAUAGAACACCUUAACUAAGUGGAUCCACUAAGCAAUAAGGAUUCAUCUAAAAAUUAUGAUCUUAUAUCCAUGUCGGCAAGACAUGAUUUAUGGGGGUUGUGAGUCGUCUAAAC
rnacentral:lncRNA from 1 species